UACGAAGGGGCUAGCGUUGCUCGGAAUCACUGGGCGUAAAGGGUGCGUAGGCGGGUCUUUAAGUCAGGGGUGAAAUCCUGGAGCUCAACUCCAGAACUGCCUUUGAUACUGAGGAUCUUGAGUUCGGGAGAGGUGAGUGGAACUGCGAGUGUAGAGGUGAAAUUCGUAGAUAUUCGCAAGAACACCAGUGGCGAAAGGCGGCUCACUGGCCCGA
rnacentral:rRNA from 1 species